CCUACGGGGGGCUGCAGUGAGGAAUCUUCCACAAUGGGCGAAAGCCUGAUGGAGCAACGCCGCGUGCAGGAUGAAGGCCUUCGGGUCGUAAACUGCUUUUAUUAGUGAAGAAUAUGACUGUAACUAGUGAAUAAGGGUCGGCUAACUACGUGCCAGCAGCCGCGGUCAUACGUAGGACCCAAGCGUUAUCCGGAGUGACUGGGCGUAAAGAGUUGCGUAGGUGGUUAUAUAAGUGAAUAGUGAAAUCUGGCGGCUCAACCGUACAGGCUAUUAUUCAAACUGUAUAACUCGAGAAUGGUAGAGGUAACUGGAAUUUCUUGUGUAGGAGUGAAAUCCGUAGAUAUAAGAAGGAACACCAAUGGCGUAGGCAGGUUACUGGACCAUUUCUGACACUGAGGCACGAAAGCGUGGGGAGCGAACCGGAUUAGAUACCCCUGUAGUC
rnacentral:rRNA from 1 species